rnacentral:rRNA from 1 species
CCUCGGGAAGGCAGCAGUGGGGAAUUUUCCGCAAUGGGCGAAAGCCUGACGGAGCAACGCCGCGUGAGGGAUGAAGGCCUCUGGGCUGUAACCCUCCUUUAUCAAGGAAGAAGAUCUGACGGUACUUGAUGAAUAAGCCACGGCUAAUUCCGUGCCAGCAGCCGCGGUAAUACGGGAGUGGCAAGCGUUAUCCGGAAUUAUUGGGCGUAAAGCGUCCGCAGGCGGCCUGACAAGUCUGCUGUUAAAGCGUGGAGCUUAACUCCAUUUCAGCAGUGGAAACUGUCAGGCUUGAGUGUGGUAGGGGCAGAGGGAAUUCCCGGUGUAGCGGUGAAAUGCGUAGAUAUCGGGAAGAACACCAGUGGCGAAAGCGCUCUGCUGGGCCAUCACUGACGCUCAUGGACGAAAGCCAGGGGAGCGAAAGGGAUUAGAUACCCCUGUAGUCCUGGCCGUAAACGAUGAACACUAGGUGUCGGGGGAAUCGACCCCUCCGGUGUCGUAGCCAACGCGUUAAGUGUUCCGCCUGGGGAGUACGCACGCAAGUGUGAAACUCAAAGGAAUUGACGG